rnacentral:rRNA from 1 species
UAAUACGAGGAGAGCAAGCGUUAUCCGGAUUUAUUGGGCGUAAAGCGUGCGCAAGCGGUUUUAUAAGUGAGAUGUUAAAUACCAAGGCUCAACCUUGGAAUCGCACCUCAUACUGUAAGACUAGAGUCAAUGAGAGGCAAACGGAAUUGCUGGUGUAGUAGUGAAAUGCGUUGAUAUCAGCAGGAACACCAAAAGCGAAAGCAGUUUGCUGGCAUUGUACUGACGCCGUUGCACGACAGCGUGGGGAGCAAACGGGAUUAGAUACCCCGGUAGUCCACGCCGUAAACGUUGAAUACUAGGGGCUGGGAGAAUCGACCCUCUCAGUCUCGAAGCUAACGCGUUAAGUAUUCCGCCUGGGUAGUACGGCCGCAAGGUUA